UACGAAGGGGGCUAGCGUUGCUCGGAAUCACUGGGCGUAAAGGGUGCGUAGGCGGAUCUUUAAGUCAGGGGUGAAAUCCUGGAGCUCAACUCCAGAACUGCCUUUGAUACUGGGGAUCUCGAGUCCGGGAGAGGUGAGUGGAACUGCGAGUGUAGAGGUGAAAUUCGUAGAUAUUCGCAAGAACACCAGUGGCGAAGGCGGCUCACUGGCCCGGUACUGACGCUGAGGUGCGAAAGCGUGGGGAGCAAACAGG
rnacentral:rRNA from 1 species